rnacentral:rRNA from 1 species
AUAGCGUAUAUUAAAGUUGUUGCAGUUAAAAAGCGCGUAGUUGAAUUUUGGGUCUGCUUAAGUAGUUUAGUCGCAAGAUUAACACUACUUCGGGUGGAUCUUUCCUUCUAGGGAACUAUUGUGCUAUUCAUUUAGUGCGAUAGGGAUCUAGGACUGUUACUUUGAAAAAAUUAGAGUGUUUAAAACAGGCUUAUGCUUGAAUACAUUAGCAUGGAAUAACGGAAUAGGACUUUGUUUCUAUUUUGUUGGUUUUCAGAAACGAAGUAAUGAUUAAUAGGGAUAGUUGGGGGCAUUAGUAUUCCAUUGUCAGAGGUGAAAUUCUUGGAUUUAUGAAAGACUAACUUCUG